GAUGAACGCUAGCGGCAGGCUUAAUACAUGCAAGUCGAGGGGCAGCACGGGUAGCAAUACCUGGUGGCGACCGGCGAACGGGUGCGUAACACGUAUGCAACUUACCUUAAACUGGGGCAUAACGCUGAGAAAUCGGUGCUAAUUCCCCAUAACACCACGAAACGGCAUCGUUUUGUGAUUAAAGCUCCGGCGGUUUAAGAUGGGCAUGCGCGACAUUAGGUAGUUGGUAAGGUAACGGAUUACCAAGCCUACGAUGUCUAGGGGUUCUGAGCGGAUUAGCCCCAAGACGGGUACUGAGACACGGACCAGACUCCUACGGGAGGCAGCAGUAGGGAAUAUUGGGCAAUGGACGCAAGUCUGACCCAGCCAUGCCGCGUGCAGGAUGAAGGCCCUAGUGGUUGUAAACUGCUUUUGUACGGGAAAAAACCCCCCGACGUGUCGGGGGUUGAUGGUACUGUAAGAAUAAGGAUCGGCUAACUCUGUGCCAGCAGCCGCCGUAAAAC
rnacentral:rRNA from 1 species